AGAUCGUGUGUAGGGCGGCAACAGGGAGAACAAAAUGAAAGGACCAACAUGGCAAAUCGCAUGAGGCCCAAUGGGAGGGGCGAGCCACUUCUUAUCUCCCCACCUCUUCAUAUCAUAAUCGGUCGAUCGAGGAACACCCCAUGUGCUUCUCUUCCCUCGGUUGGUCUUUUGGGCAGUUCCGGCGCUCUUCCUCUCCCAGUAGCUCCACCCCCAAGUUGAGCCCAUAAGUCUUGUCGACCGGCAACUUUCUGACACAACCUGCUGCAGGUCCAUAAUCUCUCAUCAGAUUUCUACACACCUAGGGUUCCAUCGUACAAUUCACACAGAGACCCCUGGUUUGUAGAUACCGCCCUGGACGUUCCAAACCCAGGCAAAGGGCGCGUGCGAGACACUCAGGUGGCGGCGGGAAGGUGCACCGAAGCUUCCUGCGCCCGAACAAAUCUAUCUCCCCGGCCAACCAACUUUGUCGCGCAGAUAGAUAGACGGCUGCAUGGCUGCAUGCAUGAGCACGGGAGCGGCGAAGUGACGGUGGUGAGGCAUCCGGACACCGCGGAGGUGGUAC